rnacentral:rRNA from 1 species
GAUGAACGCUGGCGGCGUGCCUAAUACAUGCAAGUCGAGCGAACGGACGAGAAGCUUGCUUCUCUGAUGUUAGCGGCGGACGGGUGAGUAACACGUGGAUAACCUACCUAUAAGACUGGGAUAACUUCGGGAAACCGGAGCUAAUACCGGAUAAUAUUUUGAACCGCAUGGUUCAAAAGUGAAAGACGGUCUUGCUGUCACUUAUAGAUGGAUCCGCGCUGCAUUAGCUAGUUGGUAAGGUAACGGCUUACCAAGGCAACGAUGCAUAGCCGACCUGAGAGGGUGAUCGGCCACACUGGAACUGGAACGGGGUCCAGACUCCUACGGGAGGCAGCAGUAGGGAAUCUGCCGCAAUGGGCGAAAGCCUGACGGAGCAACGCGGCGUGAGUGAUGAAGGUCUUCGGAUCGUAAAACUCUGUUAUUAGGGAAGAACAUAUGUGUAAGUAACUGUGCACAGCUUGACGGUACCUAAUCAGAAAGCCACGGCUAACUACGUG